AUUGAACGCUGGCGGCAUGCCUUACACAUGCAAGUCGAGCGGUAACGCGGGGCAACCUGGCGACGAGUGGCGAACGGGUGAGUAAUGUAUCGGAACGUGCCCAGUUGAGGGGGAUAACUGCUCGAAAGAGCAGCUAAUACCGCAUACGACCUGAGGGUGAAAGCGGGGGAUCGCAAGACCUCGCGCAAUUGGAGCGGCUGAUAUCAGAUUAGGUAGUUGGUGGGGUAAAGGCUCACCAAGCCAACGAUCUGUAGCUGGUCUGAGAGGACGACCAGCCACACUGGGACUGAGACACGGCCCAGACUCCUACGGGAGGCAGCAGUGGGGAAUUUUGGACAAUGGACGCAAGUCUGAUCCAGCCAUGCCGCGUGCGGGAAGAAGGCCUUCGGGUUGUAAACCGCUUUUGUCAGGGAAGAAACGCUCUGGGUUAAUACCUCGGGGUAAUGACGGUACCUGAAGAAUAAGCACCGGCUAACUACGUGCCAGCCGCCGCAGUAAUAC
rnacentral:rRNA from 1 species